rnacentral:rRNA from 1 species
GAGCCGUCGAAGGUGGGAUCGGCGAUUGGGACGAAGUCGUAACAAGGUACCCGUACCGGAAGGUGCGGGUGGAUCACCUCCUUU